rnacentral:rRNA from 1 species
GACGAACGCUGGCGGCGUGCUUAACACAUGCAAGUCGAACGGUGAAGCCCUUCGGGGGUGGAUCAGUGGCGAACGGGUGAGUAACACGUGAGCAAUCUGCCCUUGACUCUGGGAUAACUUCGGGAAACCGGAGCUAAUACCGGAUAUGACGCAUGGCCGCAUGGUCUGUGUGUGGAAAGAUUUAUUGGUCAGGGAUGAGCUCGCGGCCUAUCAGCUUGUUGGUGGGGAAUGGCCUACCAAGGCGACGACGGGUAGCCGGCCUGAGAGGGCGACCGGCCACACUGGGACUGAGACACGGCCCAGACUCCUACGGGAGGCAGCAGGUGGGGAAUAUUGCGCAAUGGGCGAAAGCCUGACGC